GCCAUUGUUUGUGUUUCAAACAUCACACAUCCUCUGUCACCACAGGAGCUACUUUGUCACCAUGAACAGAGACGUGGCAACCAGAGAAACCAGGGAAGGGCAUUCAGAGACGUGGCAACCAGAGACAUGAUACAAUGUCAAUGGCGUCUACAACUGUGUUUGUUGACACAAGAAAUAAAAGGGUUUGCAACCAUUUCGAUCAAUUCUUCGAUAGCGUGGCUUUUCUGCAGAUAGUUGUAAACCUUGUGACUUAUUUCAAUGAGGUUAUGCAUUUGGAAAUCACGGAUUCAACCACUACGCUGACAAAUUUUGUCGGCACUACAUUUCUGGUGGCAUUGUUUGGAGGAAUGAUUUCUGACUCCUAUGUUGACAGAUUCAAGAUGAACUUUUUCUCUGCUUGUACAGAGCUUGCCUUUUGCAGCUUUCUCCUCGGCAUGUUAGAUACAAUGUCGAUGGCGUUUACAACUGUCUAUUGACACAAGAAAUAAAAGGGUUUGCAACCAUUUCGAGCAGGUUUCAUGAUGAUUGGAUGCUAACAUGUGGAUGUAGGUUGAUAUAUGUGUGCAUUUGAUGUUUUUGGGAUAGAAUGCCCGAUGUAUGUAAUGCCAUGAUGGUUAUGUAUGUAUAAUAAAAUGAUGAUAUAUGAU